GUCACUUCCAGGCCUUUUAGCUAAGAUCAAGUGUAGUAUCUGUUCUUAUCAGUUUAAUAUCUGAUUCGUCCUCUAUCCAAGGAUAUUAUAUUAAAUGGAUUUUUGGAGCUAGGAGAUAGAAUUGCUUCCUUCACUCUGCGCAUUGACCCACUAUUGCACUACUUCCGGGAACAGUGGGCCAGAA